CUCCUGACUAUAAUUUGAAGCAAUUCUGUAACAAUUUGAGAGACCUAUUAGAAGAGCUGCAUAAAAUUGCUGUAGAUAUUCACUGUGCAUGAACUGCUUGAAAGAACUCAGGCUGAUACUAAACACAAUUAAGGUUUUUGUGUAUGAUAUUACACAAGAAACUAUGCAAGUAUUCCCGUCUUUACAAUUUACCAUGAUGAGAAUAAGUGGAUUCUCUUGCUAAAUGAGUGCUGUCAAGCUUCAUGAGGUCUGCCACAAGGUUUUAAGCUAGCCAGCAUAAAAGCCAUUAGUUCUUUCAUAGCAAUUGUCUAAACUUUGCAAAUUUGAUGAUAAUGUCCAACCGUGAGCAGGCUAUUUUUUCAGCUUUGCUACCAUGGAAUGGAAGCACCAAAUAUAAACUGUAUUCCUCCUGAAGCUAAAGCUAAUCUGUGCAGUAUUGAAAGGCAUAUAGUUCAGUUCUCAGUUAGAUGGUGCUUGAGAGAUCUAUUCAUUUUUCAAGAUAUACAGUAGAGGAAUUGAUUAUCAGAUUUGAUAAAGUGUGUUUUACAAGAGAAAAAAUCAGCCAAGAAACUGCAAAUUUAUCAUAUACUAUUGAUCUGCUGAGCAAAAGGAAGAGUGUGUCAUAUUUUUAUACCAGUCAAUUAAACGGUCAAAAUUAAUGAUCUGCUGAGCAAAAGGAAGAGUGUGUCAUAUUUUUAUACCAGUCAAUUAAACGUUCAAAAUUAAUGAAAAUUCCUGCAUUAUGACCAAACUUUGACAAGCGUAUCACUUCAAUGCAUACUCUAUAUGCUGGACUGCUCUACUCGCAAACAUACAACCUCUUAUUAGUGAUAAUGUGUACAUAUAUACAUGUACUGUGUGCCCUGAGCACAAGCAUUGCUGAGUGACAAGGUCAACACAAGUUAGAUUCACAAAAGAUGACAAGAUGAUUUCUUUAGCCUUAGUCUAUGUUUAUGCAUUCCAAACAGUUUUUAAAUUAAAAAGAGAUGUAGGUCAAAAUUCAUUGUUUAUCAUUAUUAGGCAACUACUGUAUGUAAUUUUGUUUGGUACACAUUUGAAAAUGACAUCUUAAGAUAUUCCCUUCAUAUAAUUGUUAUGAAGACUUACUGUGUUUAGAGAUCAAUGUUUUGGAAAGUAAUUACCACAAGGACAAUUUUCACGGCAUGUAGUUAGGCGCCAGUUGAUAGAGAUGGUGUUACUUGAGUAUGUUUUUUUUGUAACUUUAGUUUAAAGGUACUGUUUGUUUCCAAAAGAAAAUAAAAAUAUUUGACUGAA